rnacentral:rRNA from 1 species
GGUUCUCUCCGAAAUAGCUUUAGGGCUAGCCUCGAGGUAAAGAGUCAUGGAGGUAGAGCACUGUUUGGACUAGGGGCCCUUCUCGGGUUACCGAAUUCAGAUAAACUCCGAAUGCCAUGUACUUAUACUCGGGAGUCAGACUGCGAGUGAUAAGAUCCGUAGUCGAAAGGGAAACAGCCCAGACCACCAGUUAAGGUCCCCAAAUAUAUGUUAAGUGGAAAAGGAUGUGGGGUUGCUUAGACAACCAGGAUGUUGGCUUAGAAGCAGCCACCAUUGAAAGAGUGCGUAAUAGCUCACUGGUCGAGUGACCCCGCGCCGAAAAUGUACCGGGGCUAAACAUAUUACCGAAACUGUGGAUGAACCUCUUUAGAGGUUCGUGGUAGGAGAGCGUUCUAAGGGCGGUGAAGUCAGACCGGAAGGACUGGUGGAGCGCUUAGAAGUGAGAAUGCCGGUAUGAGUAGCGAAAGAAGGGUGAGAAUCCCUUCCACCGAAUAUCUAAGGUUUCCUGAGGAAGGCUCGUCCGCUCAGGGUUAGUCGGGACCUAAGCCGAGGCCGAUAGGCGUAGGCGAUGGACAACAGGUAGAGAUUCCUGUACCAGUGCUAAUUGUUUAACCGAUGGGGUGACACAGAAGGAUAGGGAAUCGCACGAAUGGAAAUGUGCGUCCAAGCAGUGAGUGUGAGAAGUAGGCAAAUCCGCUUCUCGCGAAGCAUGAGCUGUGAUGGGGAAGGAAAUUAAGUACGGAAGUUCCUGAUUUCACGCUGUCAAGAAAAGCCUCUAGG